GGGGUUGUGGCUCAGUGGUAGAGUGCAUGCCUAGCAUGUGUGAGGCACUGGGUUUGAUUCUCAGAACCACA
rnacentral:tRNA from 1 species